CACGCUCAUGUAAGUGCCUAGGAAUAUGGCACUCAGCGUUGGGUGGUUGCAUCCCGACACACGAUCUUCGAGAUGAUCAUGAUCGUCAUUAUUGUCGUAAUGACUAUCAAUACGGCCCUAAGACUUUAACACCAUUGGAACAGUGGUGUAAUGGCAUUCCUGAGCAUCCAGUGUCACCCAUCUUGAUGGUGUAACAGCUAAAAGUUUGUAUUCAUUAAAGAAAAUGAUUGUAAAAUGAUACUGUUAUUUGUUAACCCAUAAAGUAUCCAAUUAAAAUAUCAAGUCACAUUGUUUUGAUGCAAAACCACAGAAAAUAUGGCUUUUUGGUUACCACAGGUAAAAUCCCCCAUUUAAAUCACCCACUGGUGUCAAGGCUGUAUUAUUCAAGGAUCCUGGGACAGCAACGUGAGUUAUAUUACCAUUCCUGUGUAUUGUAAUCUUAUUGUUUUAUGACAAUAAAAACAUAUCUUUA